rnacentral:rRNA from 1 species
UAAGGAAUAUUGGUCAAUGGACGCAAGUCUGAACCAGCCAUGCCGCGUGAAGGAUGAAGGUCCUCUGGAUUGUAAACUUCUUUUAUCUGGGACGAAAACGGGAUUUUUAUCUCAAUUGACGGUACCAGAGGAAUAAGCACCGGCUAACUCCGUGCCAGCAGCCGCGGUAAUACGGAGGGUGCGAGCGUUAUCCGGAUUUACUGGGUUUAAAGGGUGCGUAGGUGGGCUUAUAAGUCAGUGGUGAAAUCUCCGAGCUUAACUUGGAAACUGCCGUUGAUACUAUAGGUCUUGAAUUAUCUGGAGGUCAGCGGAAUAUGUCAUGUUGCGGUGAAAUGCUUAGAUAUGACAUAGAACACCAAUUGCAAAGGCAGCUUACUACAUAUAAAUUGACGCUGAGGCACGAAAGCGUGGGGAUCAAACA